rnacentral:rRNA from 1 species
UACGUAGGGUGCAAGCGUUAUUCGGAAUUACUGGGCGUAAAGCGUGCGCAGGCGGUUUGUUAAGUCCGCUGUGAAAUCCCCGAGCUCAACUUGGGAAUUGCAGUGGAUACUGGCAAGCUGGAGUAUGGUAGAGGAAGGUGGAAUUCCCGGUGUAGCAGUGAAAUGCGUAGAGAUCGGGAGGAACACCAGUGGCGAAGGCGGCCUUCUGGACCAAUACUGACGCUCAUGCACGAAAGCGUGGGGAGCAAACAGG